ensembl:lncRNA
CCUUAUUUAUCAUCUUGUUUCUUUUACAUAUUUAUAAAAUAUUUUCUAAAACAGGCAAACACCUUCUUGCCCCUUUUACAUCUUUUCAGUAGCUAUGUGGCUCCCAACAGUGUUGGCAGUGUUUCUGGGUGCAGCCCCUGACCUCUUCUUCAGCCAGCAGUCCUUGGAUGAGUCCUUCAGUGACACAAGAGCAUUUGAACCAUCUCACUGCUCACGGGGAUUCCUGGUUGACAAAGACUCUGGUGGGAACGACAUUCUGAUGGUGUAUGAACGGGACCACCAUCAUUGCCAGCUUGCCUGCACUCAGAACCCUGGGUGUUCCUACUUCAGCUACGUUGUUAAAGAAUUCCAUUGCUAUCAAAAGUAUUCCUUUGGUCAACCAACUAUGACAAACAAUCCAGGAAUCAUAUCUGGUUACACUAGGAAGGACUGCAGUGAAGGUCCAGCAGUAGAGAUACCAUUGUUUACUCUGGUUAGUGAGGGGAGGAGCAUGGCGGAAGCCCAGAAGUUCUGCAGGGAGUACUACGAGGAACUGGCCACCAUCUUCAAUGCUGAGGACCAGAUAGCAGCUCUGAGAGCAGUGUCAGCACAGAGUCUCACUGACGCUGUCUGGGUCCACUCCCAAUACAAUGCUUUUUGUCCCAGAGUGGGCUAUUGGAAUCCACCAUAUGCAAAGUGUGUUGUUCAUGAACAAAGUGCAAAAGUAUGGGGUUUGAGAGAUUGCACAAAUCCAUGUCAAUUUGUGUGCCAGAAAAGCACACAAUCAAAAAAUUCCUCAGAGCUUAAAUAUUACAUGGGUCAAGGUUCAUUGACGUGGGAACGGGCACAGACGGCUUGCCGAGACAAUGGAGAUGACUUAGCGAGCAUCCUCACCCAAGAGGAUUACACAGCAUUCCAAAGCAUAAAAGAGACACAGCAGUAUGAUAUGUGGAUUGGACUCUACUGGAAGACUUCUACCAGAAUGUGGCAGUGGUCCAAUGGGGACCUCUUCCCAUACUGUGUGUCUGAGCCUCAACUGGGUGCUAGUAACUGCUGCUCCCUGACCCGUCAGGGCCAUGGACAGACUGAACACGCUUCCCUGGACAAGAUAGACUGCUCUCUGAAGAGGCCGUUCCUUUGCACUGGAAAAAAGAGAAUCAAGCAGACCAUUGUAAGGAUGUCUCUGAAAUCUAACUCAGGAGCUGACCUCAAUGACCCAGUGGUAAAGGAACAGAUGUUGGAGCAGAUCAGAAAGGAGUUUGCCAAGAACGGGAACUUCCUCAAAGACCUGCGCUGGAGAGAACUGCCGAAUGGAGAAGUUUUUCACAAAAUAGUUGAACUUGGAAGCCCUGAAGAAGGUCAGUGUGGGUCUGGAUGAAGAGGACCAGCCAUGAUGAUGCAACAGGAGAGGGAUGGAAGGUCCAAGAAAACUAAAAUAGUCAAGCUCUCUGUAAAUAAUCCUAGUACCUCAUAAUAUAUGACCGUAUGUCAAUAACAUUGUCUUAGAAAUAAGAUGUCAAGUUAUGUUAGGCUAGUUUUAAACUCUACAAUGUUUUACUAUUGUAAAAUCAAAUUAGACUUGUUGGUGUAUGAAUUUAAUGUAAUAAUGUUUGUUGUACAUGAGGUCAAUUUGAUUAAUGAAGAGAAGUUUGUAGUUUAAACAUGCAUAGUAACACCUUUUAGUGAGGGAUCUGCAUUGUAUAAUUCUUCAUAAUGAUGUUACACACUCACUCAUGGAUGUAACUGCCGACAUUCUUAAAUAAAAUAUGUUUUAAUUAGUG